CCUACGGGAGGCUGCAGUGGGGAAUAUUGGACAAUGGGCGAAAGCCUGAUCCAGCCAUGCCGCGUGUGUGAAGAAGGCCUUCGGGUUGUAAAGCACUUUCAGUGGGGAAGAAAGCCUUGGGGCUAAUACCCUCGAGGAAGGACAUCACCCACAGAAGAAGCACCGGCUAACUCCGUGCCAGCAGCCGCGGUAAUACGGAGGGUGCGAGCGUUAAUCGGAAUUACUGGGCGUAAAGCGCGCGUAGGCGGUCUGAUAAGCCGGUUGUGAAAGCCCCGGGCUCAACCUGGGAACGGCAUCCGGAACUGUCAGGCUAGAGUGCAGGAGAGGAAGGUAGAAUUCCCGGUGUAGCGGUGAAAUGCGUAGAGAUCGGGAGGAAUACCAGUGGCGAAGGCGGCCUUCUGGACUGACACUGACGCUGAGGUGCGAAAGCGUGGGUAGCAAACAGGAUUAGAUACCUUGUAGUC
rnacentral:rRNA from 1 species